UGAAGAGUUUGAUCAUGGCUCAGAUUGAACGCUGGCGGCAGGCCUAACACAUGCAAGUCGAACGGUAACAGGAAGCAGCUUGCUGCUUUGCUGACGAGUGGCGGACGGGUGAGUAAUGUCUGGGAAACUGCCUGAUGGAGGGGGAUAACUACUGGAAACGGUGGCUAAUACCGCAUAACGUCGCAAGACCAAAGAGGGGGACCUUCGGGCCUCUUGCCAUCAGAUGUGCCCAGAUGGGAUUAGCUUGUUGGUGAGGUAACGGCUCACCAAGGCGACGAUCCCUAGCUGGUCUGAGAGGAUGACCAGCCACACUGGAACUGAGACACGGUCCAGACUCCUACGGGAGGCAGCAGUGGGGAAUAUUGCACAAUGGGCGCAAGCCUGAUGCAGCCAUGCCGCGUGUAUGAAGAAGGCCUUCGGGUUGUAAAGUACUUUCAGCGGGGAGGAAGGUGUUGUGGUUAAUAACCGCAGCAAUUGACGUUACCCGCAGAAGAAGCACCGGCUAACUCCGUGCCAGCAGCCGCGGUAAUACGGAGGGUGCAAGCGUUAAUCGGAAUUACUGGGCGUAAAGCGCACGCAGGCGGUCUGUCAAGUCGGAUGUGAAAUCCCCGGGCUCAACCUGGGAACUGCAUUCGAAACUGGCAGGCUUGAGUCUUGUAGAGGGGGGUAGAAUUCCAGGUGUAGCGGUGAAAUGCGUAGAGAUCUGG
rnacentral:rRNA from 1 species